AAGCCGUCUGGUGGAUGGCUCGGCUCAAGCGCCGACGAAGGACGCGGUAAGCGGCGAUAUGCCUAGGCUAGGUGCAUACAACCGCCGAACCUAGGGUCUCCGAAUGGGAUUCCCGCCUUUGGGCGCUCCGUAAGGAGUGGGAACCCCCCGAACGGAAACAUCUUAGUAGGGGGAGGAAGAGAAAUCAAUUGAGAUCUCCUGAGUAGGGGCGACCGAAAGGGAGAAAGCCCAAACCAAAUCCGGUCAUGAUGAAUGGCCGGAGAUGUGGUGUUUUGCCCUAUGUCUGGCGCAAAGCAAGUCGGCCGUCAUAUACUAGUCGAACUCCUCUGGAAUGAGGGAUCAUAGAGGGUGACAGUCCCGUAGACGAAAGUAUAUGGGCUGAUGACAUAGGGCGGAGUACUAUCCUCUGGUUUGAGGGUAGGAAGAUGGGGGUCACUCGCCUCCAAGGCUAAAUACGUCUUGAGACCGAUAGCGAACUAAGUACCGUGAGGGAAAGCUGAAAAGCACUCCGGGAAUGAGGGUGAAAAGAUCCUGAAACCAGGCGGUUACAAACGAUAGGGCACGAAAGAGAUGAGAGAACCUAAAGGAAAGGGGUGCGAACCCCGAGUACGAGGGACCUUGAUCGGUGUCCUAUCUUCCGUCUUGAAACACGGGCCGGGGAGUUCUCAUUGGUGGCGAGCUUAAGGGGUUUACCUCCGAAGGCGUAGGGAAACCAAAUGCACGCAACCCAGCAAUGGGUGAGGUGCAGGGUCUGAUAAGGGCCUUAAGUCACCGGUGAGAGGCUAGAAACCGGGCGAUCUAGACCGGGGCAGGCCGAAGCGGGGGGAAACUUCCGUGGAGGGCCGAGCGGGUUCUGACGUGCAACUCGUUCCUUAGACCUCGGUCUAGGGGUAAUAGGCCAAUCUAGCCCGGUGAUAGCUAGUUCCCCCCGAAGUGCGUCUUAGCGCAGCCUCACCGGAGGUUGUCGAUGGGGUAGAGUUACUGAUUGGGGGUGCAGAGGCCGAAAGGCCUCGAUCUCCAGUCAAACUCCGAACCUGUCGACUCCGUAGAUGGUGGGAGUAGGGCUACCCGGCGUAAGGUUGGGUGCCGUGAGGGGAACAACCCUGACCUAGGUUAAGGGCCCAAAUUGCCAGCUAAGUGCAUAUGAAGGGCGUCUCCAGCCAUAGACAGCGGGAAGGUGGGCCCAGCAGCAGCCAUCCUCUAAGGAGUGCGUAACAGCUCACCCGCCGAGGCUGGAGGUCCCGCAGAUUGGUCGGGGCUAAAGCUGGCACCCGAGACCUAGGAGUACCGUCUCAUUGGGGCGGUACUGGUAGGGGGGCGCUGGGGGUGGUCAGAAGGUGGGCCGUAAGGUCCAUUGGACCGCCUUCAGGUGCAGAUCCCGGCGGUAGUAGCAGCGAAGGAGGGUGGAAAUCCCUCCCGCCGUAAAGGGCAAGGGUUCCUCAGCAAUGUUCGUCAGCUGAGGGUUAGCCGGUCCUAAGGCGAGGCCUAACUGGUACUUGCCGAAAGGGAAAGGGGUUAAUAUUCCCCUGCCACGGAGGUAGGUGGGGCAACUCAGGCUAACCUCCUGACGGGUUGAGAUAGGCGGAGUGGGGAAUCCUCUCCAUCCAAGCUCUCAAGUCCCUGGAGUACCGUAAUGGUGAGAAGGGGAUGAAGGAGUGAUGGGCCGUUAGGUUUCGCCAAUUCUUAGCCCCCAUGAAAAGGGAGGUUAGAGCGAUCCUCCGUGACCGUACCUAGAACCGACACAGGUGCCCCUGGGUGAGAAGCCCAAGGCGUCUAGGGGAUAACCCUGGCUAGGGAACUCGGCAAAUUAGCCCCGUAACUUCGGGAUAAGGGGUGCCUACUGUAGUGUACGCAGCUACAGUAGGUCGCAGUGACAAGGGGGACCUGACUGUUUAAUAAAAACAUAUGUCCCCGCUAGCCCGUAAGGGUGAGUACGGGGGCUGAAUCCUGGCCACUGGUGGUCGGUGACACCCGGGUUCAACCGGGAGAAGCCCCACUGAAGGCCGGGGGUAACUCUGACCCUCUUAAGGUAGCCAAAUGCCUUGCCGGGCGAGUUCCGGCGCGCAUGAAUGGAUCAACGCGGUCCCCACUGUCCCAGCCAGGGGCCCUGCGAACGCCCUGAGUGGGUCGCACAGUCCCACAUCCCUCCACACCGAGAGAAGACCCCGUGGAGCUUCACCGCAGCCUGGCGCUGAUUUUCGGGCGCUCAUACGUAGAGUAGGUGGGAGGCGUCGAAGCUGUCCCUUCGGGGGCAGUGGAGCCAAAAGUGAAACACCACCUAUGGGUGCUCGGAAGUCUAACCUCGUAAGAGGAACAACGUCAGGUGGGCGGUUCGGCUGGGGCGGCACUCCCGCGAAAAGAUAACACGGGAGCCCAAAGGUCGGCUCAGGCGGUACAGAACGCCGCCGUAGAGUGCAAGGGCAAAAGCCGGCCUGAUGGAACCCUUCAAAGUACGGGGUUCCGGCGCGAAAGCGUGGCCUAGCGAACGCUCAUGCCCCCACGAGUGGGGGCUGGGCAUGACAGAAAAGUUACCCCGGGGAUAACAGAGUCGUCGCGGGCGAGAGCUCCCAUCGACCCCGCGGUUUGCUACCUCGAUGUCGGCUCUUCCCAUCCUGGAGGUGCAGCAGCCUCCAAGGGUAGGGCUGCCCGCCCAUUAAUGGGGAACGUGAGCUGGGUUUAGACCGUCGCGAGACAGGUCGGGCUCUAAGGGUGGAGGGUGCAGGUCGCCUGAAGGAAAGGUACCCCAAGUACGAGAGGAACAGGGUACCGGGGCCUCUAGUUUACCGGUUAUCCGGUCGGGUAGUGCCGGGCAGCCACGCCUCUAGGGGUAACUGCUGAAAGCAUCUAAGCAGGAACCCCGCCCUGAAAAGAGGCGACCGUGCAGGUCCGGGUAACCGGACUUGCAGAAGGGCUCCUCUAGACGAGGGGGUUGAUGGGGUAGGGGUGUAAGCUUCGAGGGUUUCCCGAGAAGUUCAGCCCGCUACUCCCAAUAGCCCAAGC
rnacentral:rRNA from 1 species